GUGGGUGUAAGCUCAGUGGUGGAGUGCGUGCUUAGCAUGCAUGAAGCCUGAGUUCUAUCCUCACCACUCUUC
rnacentral:tRNA from 1 species